rnacentral:lncRNA from 1 species
UAACCACUGAGCAUCCACAUCCAUCUGAGCUCAGAGACAGCACUGAGAAAGGCCUGACCCAGGAGUAAAUGACUUGAAAGCAUGUGCCAAGUUAGUUGCAGUUCACUUAUUAGAGGCUUCCUGGUGACCUCUGGGUGAAAGCAUUUGACAGCAAAGAACUCAGGGACCUUCCUCAAGAGCCUGAAACCUGGCUGAUCAGUUUUCACUGUUAGCACGAAGAGAGCUUCCGGGUGGAGCCUGCCACCUUAUCGGUCUGCCACUCCCACUGCUACUACCUGCCGCCUAGCUGUUCCGGAGCUAUCACGUGGUCACCUGAAACUGAAACUCCAGUUUGGCGGGAAUGGGCCCCUUCCCCUUCUUCAUAACCCAGUGUCUGGGAAUAGUAAA